rnacentral:rRNA from 1 species
CAAUAGCGUAUAUUAAAGUUGCUGCAGUUAAAAAGCUCGUAGUUGGAUUUCUGGUGGGAGCGAUCGGUCUGGCGCUUAGCGCGAGUACUUGCAUCGUCUCCGGCCAUCCUUGGGGAGAGUCUGUCUGGCAUUAGGUUGUCGGGCAGAGGAUCCUCAUCGUUUACUGUGAAAAAAUUAGAGUGUUCAAAGCAGGCUUAUGCCGUUGAAUAUAUUAGCAUGGAAUAAUAAGAUAGGACUUUGGUACUAUUUUGUUGGUUUGCGCACCAAAGUAAUGAUUAAUAGGGACAGUUGGGGGUAUUCGUAUUCCGUUGUCAGAGGUGAAAUUCUUGGAUUUACGGAAGACGAACUACUGCGAAAGCAUUUACCAAGGAUGUUUUCAUUA